GGAAGCAAAACAGUCCCAUUAAAUCGUCUCUCUCCUGUUUCCCUUCCACCUUAAAGUUCUCCCGUUUGCUCGCCUCUUCCUCCGACCCCAGCCAGGAAAACUGAGAAGAUGACAAGUCCCUUCAGACAACCCCAUAUUCCCAAGUGCAUUCUGGACAGAGGGAGGAUUUUGGAAAAAUCCAUGGAGUAUCUAAUCACAUGCCUUGGACCUUGACAAUCCUUCCACUCAGUGUGGGUCCCCAUCCCUCCCUGUGAAAUGGGGAGUAUGAAGGACACUGCUCCCUGUUCCCGCAGCAGAGUGAGGGGAAGUGACAUCAUGUGAUUCUGCAGUCAGCUCAAGAAAGGUUCAGCCUCUACCAGUCUUGCUCAUUCAGUGAUGCCACCACUGCGCUGUGCGGAAGCUCAAAGAAACCCAGGUGGAAGAAAUCACAGACAGGCACCCACAGAGAGAGGAGCUGAGCCCAGCGGACAGCGAGCAUAGAUGGACUUGCAGAUAUUCCUGUGUCCUCUGGAGCUUGCAUUUGAGAUUUCAAAUACCGGAGAGUACAGUGCAGCCAUCCCUCCUGUGCCCUGUCUGAAUUUCUGGUCUGUAGGGCCAGUAAGUGUAAUAAAUGGGGGUAAGGAGAUGCUAUCCAGUAAGUUCUAGGAACAAUUAUGUAAUUUCAAAAAUGCUUUAUGUAAAAACAAAGUGCGAUGAGUCUGAAGAAUUACUAGCUAAUGGCUAAAAUUCAGGGAGGAGAAGAAGGUCAGCAGUCAUAUAGUAAGUGGAAGAUGGUUGGAUUAGUGACAGGAACUCAUUCAUGACUUCAUUCGUGACUUCAACAGAAGCAGUUUUGGAAGACUGUGGUAGGUAUAGUCUGAAGGACAUGGAUUAGAAAGAAGAUAAGAUGGAUUAGAGAGGGUGAAUCUGGAUAUUUCUAAAAGGGAGACACAAAAGGAGUCUGUAGGUGUGGGAUAAAGUGAUGUCAGAGAAAGCUCUGCUUACUUUCCAUGAUGGAGGUAUACAUCAUGCUUGCACAUGGAGGAUUUUAU